GACGAACGCUGGCGGCGUGCUUAACACAUGCAAGUCGAACGGAAAGGCCCGGCUUUUGUGGGGUGCCCGAGUGGCGAACGGGUGAGUAACACGGGAGUAACCUGCCCUUGCCUUUGGGAUAACUUCAGGAAACUGGGGCUAAUACCGGAUAGGAGCUCCUGCUGCAUGGGGGGGGUUGGAAAGUUUCGGCGGUUGGGGAUGGACUCGCGGCUUAUCAGCUUGUUGGUGGGGUAGUGGCUUACCAAGGCUUUGACGGGUAGCCGGCCUGAGAGGGUGACCGGCCACAUUGGGACUGAGAUACGGCCCAGACUCCUACGGGAGGCAGCAGUGGGGAAUAUUGCACAAUGGGCGGAAGCCUGAUGCAGCAACGCCGCGUGCGGGAUGACGGCCUUCGGGUUGUAAACCGCUUUCGCCUGUGACGAAGCGUGAGUGACGGUAAUGGGUAAAGAAGCACCGGCUAACUACGUG
rnacentral:rRNA from 1 species